GAUGAAGAACGCAGCGAAAUGCGAUAAGUAAUGUGAAUUGCAGAAUCCAGUGAAUCAUCGAAUCUUUGAACGCACAUUGCGCCCGCCAGCAUUCUGGCGGGCAUGCCUGUUCGAGCGUCAUUUCAACCCUCGACCUCCCUUUGGGGAAGUCGGCGUUGGGGACCGGCAGCACACCGCCGGCCCUGAAAUGGAGUGGCGGCCCGUCCGCGGCGACCUCUGCGUAGUAAUCCAACUCGCACCAGAACCCCGACGCGGCCACGCCGUAAAACACCCAACUUCUGAACGUUGACCUCGAAUCAGGUAGGACUACCCGCUGAACUUAAGCAUAUCAAUAAGCGGAGGA
rnacentral:misc_RNA from 1 species